rnacentral:tRNA from 1 species
CAAAAAAUAGUUUAAGAACAAAAUUUUAAUUUUGGAAAUUAAAGAUUUAAUAAUUUAAUUUUUUGA